rnacentral:rRNA from 1 species
GACGAACCGUGCGACCGUUGCUCGGAAUCACUGGGCAUAAAGGGCGCGUAGGCGGCUUGUCAAGUCAGGGGUGAAAUCCGGCAGCUUAACUGUCGAAGUGCCUUUGAUACUGAUGAGCUAGAGGGAGAUAGGGGUAUGCGGAACUUCCGGUGGAGCGGUGAAAUGCGUUGAUAUCGGAAGGAACGCCGGUGGCGAAAGCGGCGUACUGGAUCUCUUCUGACGCUGAGGCGCGAAAGCUAGGGGAGCAAACGGG